rnacentral:tRNA from 1 species
GGGUGCUUAGCUCAGCUGGGAGAGCGCUUGCCUUACAAGCAAGUGGUCGGGGGUUCAAGUCCCUUAGCACCCACCA